GUUGAGGUGCACACCGGGUGUAACAUACCAGAUUUUGGUAUAAAAAUAAAAAUAAAUAAAAAUAGUGUAAGAUAAUAUUUUUAUUGGAUUUAGAGAAGUAAAACAUAAGUCAGAAAUGACUUGUGCUGAAAUCGGAAUGAAAACAGAAGAUUUAGAAUUUUUUGUUGAAAACGGUACAGAUAAAUUAGCAGAAAAUGCACAGUGUCAGAAAAUUAUGAAAAUUGGAGGAUAAGUCAGAAUUAUUUUUAUGAGGCUAGAUUUAAAGUUUCAUAUUAUUUUGACACCCAAAAGGUGGAAAAUAAAAUCCGACAACUAUCGGAUAAAGAUUACAGUUCGGUACAGUUUUCGGUGACCAAACGGGGUCGAAACUGAAAACUUAAGAUAUAUU
rnacentral:lncRNA from 1 species